UUCCAGCGAGGAGAUGGCAUUCUCCGUUGAACCGCCUCACGGCUGAUGAUGCCUACGAACCC
rnacentral:ncRNA from 2 species